UGGGGAAUAUUGGACAAUGGGCGCAAGCCUGAUCCAGCCAUGCCGCGUGAGUGAUGAAGGCCCUAGGGUUGUAAAGCUCUUUCACCGGUGAAGAUAAUGACGGUAACCGGAGAAGAAGCCCCGGCUAAUUCCGUGCCAGCAGCCGCGGUAAUACGGAAGGUCCAGGCGUUAUCCGGAUUUAUUGGGUUUAAAGGGAGCGUAGGCUGUUUGUUAAGCGUGUUGUGAAAUGUAAGAGCUCAACUUUUAGAUUGCAGCGCGAACUGGCAGACUUGAGUGCGCACAACGUAGGCGGAAUUCAUGGUGUAGCGGUGAAAUGCUUAGAUAUCAUGACGAACUCCGAUUGCGAAGGCAGCUUACGGGAGCGCAACUGACGCUAAAGCUCGAAGGUGCGGGUAUCGAACAGG
rnacentral:rRNA from 1 species